GCCGACGUGGCGGAAAUGGUAUACGCGCAUGUCUUAGGAACAUGUACCGCAAGGUGUGUGGGUUCGAUUCCCUCCGUCGGCA
rnacentral:tRNA from 1 species